UACGGGGGGAGCAAGCGUUGUUCGGAUUUACUGGGCGUAAAGGGCGCGUAGGCGGCCACCGCAAGUCGACUGUGAAAUCUCCGGGCUUAACCCGGAAAGGUCAGCCGAUACUGCGGGGCUAGAGUGCAGAAGGGGCAACUGGAAUUCUCGGUGUAGCGGUGAAAUGCGCAGAUAUCAGGAGGAACACCGGUGGCGAAGGCGGAUCUCUGGGACAUUACUGACGCUGAGGAGCGAAAGCGUGGGGAGCGAACAGG
rnacentral:rRNA from 1 species